rnacentral:lncRNA from 1 species
GCAAUGUGUGGAAGGAGGCGAUGCACGUUCCAUAGCAUCACUAUGUGACUGCUGCUGCCUGAUAAUCUUGCUUCCAGCUCCCUGAGUCAACAACUAACUGAGGUGCCUUUUCUUUUACAAAAGGAUGUCAGCUCUGAGACCCAGGAAGAAAUAACAGACUUCACCUUGGAAUAGCUCACCUCACUCCUGCAUCAUUAAAGCGGAUUUUGUAAAGAAAACAAAAAUCAACCCCCAUUCCAGCCCCUCCUCAUUCCACCACUGAACAGAAAGAGUUUCCUGCUCCAGUUCUGUGAAGUAUAUUGUUGGAAUUUCAAUUGGCAUUGCAUUGAAUCUAUACAGCAGCUUUGGAAGUAUGGCCAUUUUCACUAUAUUGGUUCUUCCUACCCAGGAACAAG